UUUGAAUAUUUGUUUGUCUUAAAAAUUUUUUUGUUGUUGUUGUUGUUGUUUUUUUUACAGAUUAUGCAUUUAACACAAUUUGGUUUUAAGGCUGGGUGAUAUGAUAGACAUGUUGUGAUAUAUUUAAUUUAAUUAAUAUUAUUAAAUAAUUUAAUAAAUUAAUUUAUUAAUAGUAAUUAUAAUAAUUUGUUUUAAUUAUAUGAUAUAUAUAUAUUGUAAAAUAUAUAUUUAAUUUAUUAUAUUGCAUAUUUUAUUUUAUAUAUUUUCUGUAUGUACAUAUACCGCCCAUCCUUGACACGAUUUGUCCUCUUUUGCUCUGAGAUCUAGGAGACUAACUCCAGCAUUCUGUCUUGUCCUUGUAGGUAUGGCUUUCCCGACAAAAGGCUAGUAAUGCUCAGGGGUUUAACACAGUCCUCAGCCCAUACGAGUGUUAAAAAUGCUUUGCUUUUCAGAUGCCUUGGAACAAAAAAAGACAAAAGAGCAAACGAAGAAACUGAUUUUUACAAGAAACAAAAGACUAAAGAUCAUUACUACUCAUGUUUACACUGGUCUUAACUGUUUUGUUGACUUAUUCAUAGAUUAAAAAAAUUUAUUUUCAGAUAAAUACUGAUAAAUAAGCCUUAUUACAUUCCUCUGUUUGAAAAGUAAUCUAUAUUUGUUUAGUAAUCUAUAUUUGUUUUCCUGCAACUGUAUCUUAGAUAUUUAGAGAGUGAUCAGUAUUAUUGCUAAUAUAACAUGCUUGUGAAAAAACUUUCUCCAUGAAAUAUCCUGUAGUGAAUUCAUACUAUCUGAGGCAUCUAGUGUGUUGAAAGGAAUACAAGGGCUCUAUAGUCAUUGUAAAAAAUAGGCAAGAGCGUAAAAAAAAAAAACACCAUUUGUGUUUCUUAUGAAAAUGCGACAAAUUUACUGGGAAACUGAGAAAGGGCAAUAACAUAUGAUGUGAUUUCACUAUAACGGAGCUUGGAGAAAAGGUCACUUGUGCCUUGUAAUUUGGUCUUAUAAGCCUUGUUUGUGAAACAAUGUUGUGUGAAGUGUAGUUUUAAUGUAUUUUGAUGAAUAAUCUGUUAAUUCUUGUUUUGUUGGCAAUUUUGCGCUCUGAGCAGGUGCAGUGACUACUAAAGUACGAAGGCAGGAUAUGCGCGUCCAUCCUUACCAAAGGGUAGUGACCGCAGAACGAGCCGCCACCGGCAACUAACCAAUGACCCUCUGAACUCUUCACCCAAUGAUGACCUGACCAUUGCCUGCCUGCUGACCAGUUCUCUGGCUCUCGUCCUUCGCUUCUAUGUUUUGGCGGCCUGCUGGUGAGCUCAGAAGCAGCUUUAAUUCACUUAACCCAGCCCGAGAAGCCGUGAUGGAUUUUGGCGGCCUCCUGCAGAACAGAAUCGCUCCCCUUCUCAAACUGAGGACCUCCUUGGUCAGGUGACCUGGGCUUCCCAGCAUGCACUGAUGUGUCAUAAAGCAAUAACGCUGUCUGGGCGACACCUGAAAUCCUACUGUUAGCCUUUCACACACUAAAUAAACACAAAUCUUUAUUGGUUUCUUAAUAAUUAAGCAUAAUAUUCUAUAUAACUCUACGUUUGUGCACUGCAGUUCUCAUACCAUCCUGAAGAGUUAUUUUAAAACUGAUUUAUCGGUCCAUAAGGGAUGUAAAAGCCAUGCUUGCCUACCAGCGUUUUCUUCAGAGAGCUGUCAAAAAGCAUCCACAUGAGCAAGUGUGCAAACACUGAACAUCGACUGAUAUCUUUUUGAUACGAGGGUGCUGCACAGGAAAUGAAUAUAUAUUUUUCAAAGGUCAUCCUUUUUGUAUUAAAAAACAAAGCAGUAUUGUCAAAACGUGAUGAACAAACGACAAAAUUUUAGAGACCAAAACAGUGUCUUUUUUUAAUAAAAAACAAACAAGUGCCUUAUUUUACACAAUAUCAUCAAUUAUGAAUAAGUAUGAAUGUCCAUCAAUGUGUUAUAUGCCAACAUAUCAGGUAUUUCUGUUCAAUUCCUCUUCAUUCAUGAAAACAAGAGGUGUACAGAACAAUGUCGCAGGCGUUACUCAAAAACUGCAUUUCUUUUUAUGUGCAUUUUCUUAUUUUUAUUUACAAAUAAUGAUUGAGUUUUACCCUGUCACACUACAUAAGGUGGUCAUUCAGCCUGUUUGUAGUUGAUAAUAUAUAUGUACAAGCUCUCUAAUAUGUUUGUAUAUCCAUCACUACAGCUGUUACACAGCAAUGAAGCCCCUAACAGUUACUGGUCACUAUUUCCAUAUUUUUAGUCUGCUUACAGUAUAUCUCAAGAAGCAUUUAUUCCAUUCAUCAAGAUGAAUAUUAUAAAGGUUUGGGGUUAAUUAGUACAGAGCUCAUUUUAUUCCUUUUAAAGAAUUGAAGUGUACUAGAAGAGCAUGUUUGUAUGCAGACGUGUCACAUUUCUACAUACCUUCCUAUGCAAAUGAUUUUCAGUUUUAUUAAAAUGACUGAAUAAAUUUCCUUCAGUUGCUCUUCCAGUUAAAAUGUCAGACCAUUUCAGUGCUGAAGAACAACAAGACUAAAAGCGUAUUAACAAAUUAUGAUUACAUUUUGUUAUUUGGUUAUCAGAAUUGGAUUUUGAGAAGAUGCAUCUCCUUUUGUAUUUAUGCAGAGCAAAUGCAAUACUUUUUAGACGUUUGAGGCUGUGAUGCAGUUGCAUGUAAUUUUUUUAUUAACCUGGAAAUUGCUAAAGUAAAAAUCCUGCAAAUACAUUUAACGGAUGGAAAUUGUUUGUACAAGGAUCUUGACUAGAAACUGGAGUUGUUUGUUAAUGUGUGUUUGGUUAUUUGUUUUUUUUUUUGGUUUAGUGUUUGCUUUCCAUGCAGUAUUACUAUAGACUGUCAUUAUGUGUGAGAGCAUGUGUUUAUGGGUGAUUGUGUGGGUGACUGUUUAUGUAUUGUAUAUGCCAAUGAACUGCAACUCUCCGUUAAAGCUUAUUUUUGUUGUCAUUUUUUUUUUUCGCAAUCCCAAGCAGCUCUCUGCAUACAGUCCUAUUUAUAACCAUUGUAACAUUUUAUAAUGUAUUUUUCUAUCAUAUUUUGUAUGUGAGAAAUAACAUUAAAUCACAUUUCCAGAUAUGAACAGUAUGCCUUAUUACAAAAAAAUUGAAAUGAGAGACAUAUUUUUCCCAUGAUGAUUAAUUCCAUAGUUGAUGGAAAAUGGAAAAACUUAUUUGAACAACAAUAUCAUUUGGUUCCAGCCUCACUCUGAGCAAGUUUAAAGUGGUUAUUAUUUGCUGGGGUGUUUGGUUUGUCAUUGUUGCUUUGCCUCUGUGCCUUCUCAUGUAAAUUGUAAGCUAUUAACCAUUUCUAGUUAUAUAAUUUGAUUAAUCGUUUCUUGUCGAUUGUACUAACAUUUGAUGAUUGAUUUCUAUUCAUUAACCCUGUCAACAAUUUCUUUUGUCUGCUUUGAAUCUUUAGAAGAGGAUUUGUGUGAAAUUAAGCAAAAGAGUGUUUUACUGACUGAAAUAUGCUGGACUAAACUCUGUACUGAGAAGCAAUAGCAAAAUAUUAAAAUCAUAGUUUUAAAAAAAGAAACUAACUUGGUCGCUCUUUCUCUUGUGCUUUUUAAAUGUGUCAGAACACUCUGCAUACUAAUCUGAUUCAGGUCUGCUGUAGAUAAUGGAGAAGAUCUGAGUCUAAACUUCUCCGUACUGUUUAAUUGAUCAUACUGAACAAAGCUGCAUUUAACACCAAAGUGACAAGAUGAUAAUGGGGUGGGAAAAAAUCUGAAGGAGAAGUAAAAUCUAUAUAAAUGGUAUGGUUGUUUGAGUUCA